rnacentral:lncRNA from 1 species
GACCAUUCCACCAAGAGGAACUCUAUUUUUACCACCUGCAGUUUUGAAUUCAUGAUCCUCUUGCCUCAGCCUCCUGACUCACUGGGAUUACAGGCCUGAAUCCCUGAGGUGGGCUCUUGAUUGCUCUUUUUAUUUAGCACUUUUUAUUCUCAUCCCAUCUUUGUUUUGGAAACUAAAGUGAAUCUGAUGUAGACAGCAGAAUAAUUUGGUUGGAUUCUAGGUCUUAUACCCAAGGGUGCCUUAACACUGGGCUACACACCCAGCCACUUUUUAAUAUUAUUAUAUUUUAUUUUCAGACAGUGUUAUGCUAAGUUGCUGAUGCCAGCAUGAAACUUGUGAUACCCUAGAUCAGUCUCACAAGUAGCUUAGUGACAGCAUUGUGCCACUGUGUCCAGAUGAUGAUGAUUUAGACAGGCUCUCCAUAAGUCACCGAGUUUGCCCUCCAACGUGCAGUCCUCUUACCUCAGCCUCCUGAGUUUCUAGGGUCACAGAGGUGUGCUGCAUGCCCAACUUGAUGAAUAUAUUUCUAAAAUUGGAACUAAUUGGAUCUAUAUGCAGUAAUAGUAAUGAAAAAAGUAAUAGUAAUGAACAAAGUGCUUCUAUGUUGCCACUUGUUUUCUACCUGUAUGUUUUUGGUUUAUCAAUUUUCCCAUUAUUGCUUAUUCAUUCAUAUUUCCCAUUAUUCAUUUUUCUUGUGUACCAUUUUUAUUUUAUUUUCUUCUUUUGGCACAUGUUUUAGUUUUACCUUAGCGAUUGUGCUGGGAGCUCUAACAUCUUAAACUUAUGACAAUCAGUUUUUAUUCAUGCCAAAUUAGUUUCAAUUGUAUAGAAAAAUUUUGCUAAUCUUACAGAUUUGUCCCUCAGUUCUGGUUUUUAUCUUUGUCUUAGACUAUAACUUCAUGCAUCGUGUAUCUUCUAUGGCUUGGAUAGCAUUUUUCCCCAAACAGGCUUAUGUUCUGGACACUUUGUUCUCAUUGUGGUAGAACUGAGGCAGGGGAACCUUUCAAAUGUGCUGUCUACUGGGCAUCAAUUAAGUCAUUGGGGAAACCACCCUCAGGAAGAAUGGACGCUAGUCUCUUGGAAUGAGUUUAUGAGAAAAUGAGUUGUUAUGAAAAAUCAAGACUGCCCCUCUCUGCUCUGUGGCUCAUAUUGGUACAUAUGAUUUUUCCUCUUCCACUUGUCCCCACUCUGAUGACAGCCACCAUGCUGGAAUAGCUCAAAGUGCAUACUCCCCAGAAGCCAAGUGGAUGGCAUCCCUUUAUCUUGGACUCUCAGACCCUAAAAUUCUGACCUAAAGGACUUUUUAAUCACAAACUACUCCGCCUUAGGUAUUUCCUGAUAGCAAUAAAAGAAUGGAGUCUUAUAGUCAUUCAGCAUCAAUGUUUGUUUGGUUCUAAAUGUUAUUUUUGUGUUGUAAGUGUUAUUUUAGCACCCAUUUAUUUUUUUAAAAUUUUUUAAAUUUUAUUUUUUUAAAUACACAACAGUGGAAUACAUUGCAAUUCUUAUUACACAUAUAGAGUACAAUUUUUUACACUUAUAUUUUUAAAACCAAUAGAAAAGAGUUAGAAACUAAAUACUCCAUGGCACUGGCUAUACUUAGCUACCAUAUAGAGCUACUGAGCUACAUCUACCAUUAUUUCUCAUUAUUUUAUGUGGACUUAAUUUUCUGUCUUUUAUCAUUUCCUUUAACCUUGAUGGCUCUAUUGGCAUUUCUGGAAGAAUUGUCUACUCACCACAAACAUUUCCUUGCACAAAUCUCCCCUUAUCUUUUGAAGCACAGUUUAGCAAGGUAUAAAAUUCUUGAUGGUUAAACAACAAGUUUCAUCAUGUCCUCCCACUGCCUUCCAGCUUCUUGGAUUCUCCAGGGAAACCCACUAAUGCUGUCUUGUACCUGAACAACUGUUUCUCUCUGACCACUCACAAGAUUGCCUCUUGGUAUUUGUUUUACAGAAAUUCUUCUUCAUAGUUCCUCUUAUCCAUGGUUUCCCUUUCUGUAAGCUUUAGAAAAUUCCAGAAUGAGCAACUCAUGAGUUUUAAAUUGCAAAGUGUUCUGAGGAGCAUGAUGCAAUCUCCCCCCACCCCACCCCAGCCCUCCAGGGCACAGGCCUCUGCCUUCUCCAGUAGUUUCCCAGUUGAUAUACUGUUUCUGGAAUAACUUCCUGUUAGUGGCUAGUUGCCAUCUUUGUUGAGAGACUGACUGUCGUGAUAGUGCUCCACUGUGUAGAAGAGAACAUCUCUCCAAUUACUCAUGCACCACAUUCUGUUUGUGCCCAUGUUGCAGUGUUAGCACUUGGAUCCUAAGAAUAGAAGACACACCUUGAGCCUCUCCUAAGGGAAAACAUGAUUUCCCAUGAGACUCUGACCCAAGAAGGUGAGAUAUGUUUAAUACGUUUAGGACGAACCUCUUUCAUAAAUAACCUCAAGAGAAAGUACAAGUGACUGGGAAGUCUAUCCUACUUCAUUGUAAUGCUAAAAUGUCCACCAGGAAGGAAGUUGAACCUCGUUUCCAUAGUGUAUGGUUGUAUGCCAAAGUGUCCUUAAGAAUGGCUCCUGUGUAACCAAGGCAGUCCAGUGCAUGCCUAACUCCCAGGAUUGAACCUGAUUUCAUCUGACAACACAAGGUAACCACUCCCUCAAUGCCACCAUGAUCUGAGGGAUGAGGUAUCAGUCCCUGGGCAUAACGAGGAGCCAGUGGAGGCCCUUGUUCUCUCCAAAAGGAAAAUGCUAUAGUCGUCAUCCAUGGGAGAAUUUAAGCCUCAUUCUCAUACCAUGUAAUGCAGGCAGAAGCACAUAUUUCUCAUGAUCCUGGGCUGACAUUUCUCAACCUCCACUGAUUACUUGGCUGUGAGAGUUUGAAAGCUUCUUAGAAGGAAUUUUAGUGGUCAAUUCUGCUCAUUAUUUAUUUAACUAUUUGUGGCACCAGUGAUUGAACUCAGGGCUGCUUAACCACUGAGCCCCAUCCACAGCCCCCCCCCCCUUUAAAGAAUAUAUACUUUAUUUAGAGACAGGGUCUCACUGGGUUGCUUAGUCCUGACUAAGUUUCUGAGGCUGACUUUGAACUCACGAUCCUCCUGCCUCAGCCUCCCAAGUUGCUGGGAUCAUGGGCAUGCACCGCUCUGCCUGGCUCAGUUAAUUUUCCUUAAUGAUAAAAAUAAUGAUUGUUUCGAUGAUAAUGGUUGAAGUCAAAAAGUCAGAGAGAAGUUGUUUUUGAUUUGUUUUUUGGUCCCCACCAGUUUAAGCAAGAGCCAGUAAAGGUCCGUACCAGUGCUGGAUGAGAAGAGAGUUGCAGAAAAACUUCCAUGUGAAUGAUUGCAAGUAAUAGAAUGGACAGCUGGCCAAGACAAGGAGUCAAAGGCCACUUCAAUGUUCUUGGUGACAAAAUGUGAGAAUCCAGAUUUAAAAAGAAAAACACAAGUUUGUGGGAGGAUAAAAGUGAAGACUUAGUCCAGCAGUGGAGAUGUCUUGCAGUUUCCAUUGAGCAUAGGUGGGAGACUUGUUCCAGGCCAGCAAUCCCCAAAGCAUUGCCAAGUGCAUCAAUUUAUGUAUACAGUUUGCAGACAGCCUGCUCACCUCCUCCUGUAAGUUAAAUGAUCUCUGGGUCACUAGUACAAUUUGCUAAAGGCCUGGGGCUGGGGCUCAGUGGCAGAGCACUCUCCUAGCACUUGUGAGGCACUGGGUUUGAUCCUCAGCAACACCUGGAAAUAAAUAAAUAGAAAAAGGUAUUGGGUCCAUCUACAACUAAAAAUAUUUUUUUAAAAACUGGUACAAAGUAACCGCUAUGUAAGUAGCCGUUAUGCCAUUGUCAUUACUUGGGAGAAAGUCUGAACAUUUACUUGGUACACGAGCAACUCAUUUUCAAAUCCUUCCCAUCCCCCAGGGUUUGAGACUUUGGGUGCAGAAUCCAGGCAUAUGGCCACAGGUAUUUCCAAUCCCUGGAGAACACCCAGGGCAGGUUGUCUGGAAAAGGUUUUGAAAUAUGUUGUAGGAAUUCCAAUAACAUCUGGCCCAGAGAGAGAGGCAAGUAGAGGGUCAGAGAUGGCACCUGGGAAAGCAGGGGUGACAGGUGGAGCCUUGAGUGUUGGGGUGGCAAAGAGGACAGGCAGAACCUCUGGGGACACAGGGGCGUGGGCAGAUGUUGAGACGGGGAAACACUUAAUGCUUGGGGAAGCAGAUGGAGAAAAAAAGACGUCACCGUUAAUAAAAUAAAAAAUGGGGACAGAAUAGAUUUAGAAGCUCAGAAAGUCUUGACCUUCAAACUCCUCCUCCAUUCCAGAAGAUUGCAUUCCCCUUUCAGAGCAGAACCCACAGUGGGUUUUUUUGUCUUUGUUUUUGUGUUUUUUAGAAAACUGAUAAAAUGUUCACUGGUUUUGAAAAUGAUUUAUGGCCCUUGAAUAAGGUUUUCUCGAGUUUCUGGCCACACAGUAUUGGUCUCUACUUUUUUCCAUUUUCAAUGAAUAUCUAACACCUGGCCUACCAGUGGGUACUACAUUUUAUAAGCCAGUGAUGGUAUUUUUAAAAUGCAAAAUUAUUAGGGAACUCUAUGGGGUGAUACAUAAUUGAUUCUCAAAGGUGCAGCUCAUCCCUGCCUUGAUCUAUCUAUCUAUCUAUCUGUCUGUCUGUCUGUCUGUCUGUUUUCAGUGCUGGUGGCGGCUCUACCACUCAGCUACACACUGAUAGUGAUGGAUGGGUAGCAUGCAGACGUGAUUGAUGGGGUCAUGCAGGUCAGGGAGUCAUUCUGUGAACUUGGCCCACUGUGCAGACCCCCACUUUUCUUUUAGAAAAGUAAUUUACCUAGAGCCCUGCCUUGGCCAAGUCAAUGUGCUAUAUUCCACUCCUCAGCCAACAACCUGUGGUUUCUGUGAGCAGUGAUUUCUUCUCUACCAGUGAGAACACAAGUUAACCUGGAGGGGACAAGUUCUGGGACACUUUCACAGACCAGAUUCCAGAACUCAAGGAGAUAGGAUGAUUGCUCCUGACCAUCAAAUAUGUAAGAACCGUUCCAGACUAGCGUGGGCAAAGUGACCUAGAGUUGUCCUGGAUCUUGGCAUGUCAACUCCUGUUCCUGUCACUAGUGUGCAUCUGCUGACUAGUAUUUCUAUCUGGUAUUAGUUUAUUUAAAGACAUAGGGAAGGGACAGAGGGACACUCUCAAGAGGGAGUGUCCUCUCAGGUAGUAUGAUGUGCCCCUAUUUUCCUACUGGUCCCAGAAAAUCUCCAAUUAGGACUGGUCAGUGCAGAGCAAGGUGACUUGAGAGUUGCAUUUGUAUAUUUAGAAUGUCAUCUUAAACUUUUAUAAUAAGUUUUUUCUAUUGAUUUUUUAAAAAACUAAAUGACAGCAGAAUGCAUUACAAUUCUUAUUACACAAAGAUAGCACAAUUUUUCAUACCUCUGUUUGUUUAUAAAGUAGGUUGAGGGCUGGGGAUGUGGCUCAAGCGGUAGCGUGCUCGCCUGGCAUGCGUGCGACCCGGGUUCGAUCCUCAGCACCACAUACAAACAAAGAUGUUGUGUCCCCCGAAAACUGAAAAAUAAAUAUUAAAAUUCUCUCUCUUUAAAAAAAAUAAAGUAGGUUGACACCAAUUUGUGUCUUCAUACAUGUACUUUGGAUAAUGAUAACUACCUCAUUCCACCACCCUUGCUAACCUCCAGCCCCCUCCCUUCCCCUCCCACCCCUCUGCCCUAUCUAGAAUUCAUCUAUUCCUCCCAUGCUCCCCCUCCCUACCCCACUAUGAAUCAGCCUCCUUAUAUCAGAGAAAACAUUCAGCAUUUGUUUUUUGGGGGAUUGGCUAACUUCACUCAGCAUUAUCUUCUCCAACUCCAUCCAUUUACCUGCUAAUGCCAUGAUUUUAUUCUCUUGUUGCUGAGUAACAUUCCAUUGUGUAUAUAUAACGCAUUUUUUUAUCCAUGCAUCCACUGAAGGGCAUCUAGGUUGGUUCCACAGUUUAGCUCUUGUGAAUUGUGCUGCUAUAAACAUUGAUGUGGCUGUGUCCCUGUAGGUUGCUGUUUUUAACUCCUUUGGGUAUAGACUGAGGAGAGGGAUAGCUGGGUCAAAUGGUGGUUCCAUUCCCAGAUUUCCAAGGAAUCUCCAUACUGCUUUCCAUAUUGGCUGCACCAAUUUGCAGUCCCACCAGCAGUGUAUGAGAGUACCAUUUUCCCCACAUCCUCGCCAACACUUAUUGUUGUUUGUCUUCAUAAUAGCUGCCAUAAUAAAAGUUUUACUACAGUGAAAUUCUCUCUCUCUCUCUCUCUCUCUCUCUCUCUCUCUCUCUCACACACACACACACACACACACACACUUGGGUUUUUCUUUGGUGUCUCUGGACAGGACCAUGUGGCUUAGGAACCUACAAAUGCGAUGUCAUCCUACUGCCAGUUAAGAACUAGGACUUGGUCCAUGGCAGGCCUCUGCAAUCACCCACAGCAUCUCCCAUAAACUUGAGGAGCAAAGAGGGAGUGAGGCCUAGAGAUGUCAGAGAAGCCUUACUGUUUUCCUCCCUCCCUCUUGAUAGUGAUUCUAAACUUUGCUCUACUUUGAUCACAUUUUAUGUAUUAUUUAGAAUCCUCUCUUGCAAGAACACAAGAGCCAAGAAACACCACCUAACCUCCAUAUCCCUGGGAUCACGACCAGCCACAGUGUCAGAUCUUUUAUUGCUUUAGUUAUUUACUCACUUCAUUUGAUCUAUUUAUUAAUACAGGUGGGCACCACCAACGCUCUGGGUCCUGUUGGAAGGCAGCAGUCACACACCGACACACAGCAUCCUAAGGUAAGAAGACGGCAAGCCAGCAACACAGAACAUCAGAAAGGAAUGAUGAAUUUGUGUCCACGGGACUGAGAGCGUGAGUCUGAAGAUGGUGCUAAGGUGUUUCAAUAAGCUAAUGCUUCCCAGGGGGGCACGUGGCUCCUGGAGCUCGCUGCAAUAAAGACGCAGGUGGAGAUGAUGCUGUUGACCAAAGCAAGAGCCAGGCCCGAGAAAAUGGCCGAGAUCACGCUUCUGCUCCUUGCCCAGGUGCUUUGUGAACCGUGUUCUGAACUAACCACGAGAACCUACUGAUAUGUGUCAAGGUGACAUGAUCAGGGAGACUGUGGAGACAGGAACUCUGACCCUCGGUUGUUCAUGAAGACUCACCCAAUAUCAGAGCUUUGAAUAUUUGAUUUUGAGGCAGGGUCUUGCUAAGAGGCCAACUGUGGCCUCCGACUUGAGAUCCUCCUGCAGCAGCCUCCCAGAUGCCUGGCUUUGCAGACAUGUGCUACCAAACCUUGUCCUUUGCUUAUAGGGCAGUGUUUUCAGGACGGAAGUCUUCAGAGAAUGCUCAUUAUUAGAUUUCUAUUUUUACUUAUGUAUUUGGCCAUGGACUCAUAUGGUUUUUGCAGGGAUCCACAAACGUGGUCCACAAUCCAGCAGAUUUCAGAAACUUUUCACAUUGACAGCUAUUUUCAAAUAGUUGCAUUCUGAUUGAGGCACAUUUGACCAAGGGUAAACAGUAAGAUGCCUUUAAAGUGCUUGUGAAUUUUCCUGGCUAGAAUAUUGCAGAGGGUUUUGCCAGUUUUCUCACCACUUUGUUUAUCUCAUUGGUGUGGAAAAACCUCUCAGAUGCAAGGACUGCACCCCAGAGGCAAGCUCCUGCAGCUGGCCACCCACAGGCCCCCACACCCACUGAUCCAAUUCUCUGUCCCCUGUUAAUUGGGUGUCAGGUGCUGUUGGAUUGUUAAUUAUUGGGUAAAACCCAGUGUUUUGCCCCCAAGGAGCCCAAGGUCUAGCUUGUUGGUUAUUGGAACCACUGGGUUGGUUAUUCACUUUUCCUUGCCUCUCAAGACAAAUCUGAGUUCCAUGCAGGGACCUAUGUCUAGUGGCACUGGUAGCUUAGGAAAAUCUCUCAUUGUGGUGAAGAAAACUAACAGCAAGAAUAAUUAAUCAUUUCCCUCAUGGGGGAAGGGGGUUCUGGCCUCAGAGUGUCCCUGGCUCUUUCCCUCUUCUCAGCCACAUAAUCUUCUCCUCAUCCUGGGCAAGACAACUGUGUACUGCUCAUCCCUGGAAUCCUGGGCAUGUGGCUUGACCUUCUCAGUUUUCCUUCGAGAGAAAUGUUCCCAUUUCACAAAUGCAGGUCCCCCAAAUACCUGGGCUGCUGUCACUGAGAAAAAGAAAAAAAU